rfam:Aedes aegypti strain Liverpool supercont1.374 genomic scaffold, whole genome shotgun sequence.
GGCUCGGUAGCUUAGUUGGUAAAGCGCUAGUCUAGCAUACUAGAGUCCUGGGUUCAAAUCCCAGCCGAGUAC